GAGUAGAGCCCGGAGGAGUUUGAGAGAGAGGCGGUUACCUCAUCGUCGUCGCGAGGCGGAGCGAAUCGCUGCAACUUUUGGAUGAACUUCUAAUUUGAACAAACCGAGAGGCGGUCGGCAGAGUGUACGGACAACAACAGACACAAAAAGGUGAAGAGAUUUAGAGGUUUUCUGCUACGAAGUCUUUACAGCCGGUUCGUUUUAUCUUUACCGGCCGUGGCGGUUGGUGUAUGCCGAUGACUGACCCGCGAGAGCGUUAUUUUUCCUCUCGAAAACGCCGACAAGGUGGAAAUUUAUAAAGGGUCACCUGAGAUCCUUCAGACUGUGUCACCUGCAGCUCACUGGCCUCGACAAGAUCCCGGGAUCAUCAGUGAUUUGUGACGAGAUCCAGACACCCGCAGAAAAAUAAGAGCUCUUUUUUCCUCCUCUCGUCAAGGCCAGUCCUAUUUUCUCAGUUCCUGAGUUGGUCCCACCCAGACUGAAUGGAGUUCUUUUUUUGCAUGGUUGCAAUGCAGACUGCUUUUUAGAGACUUCAACUGUGAAAGUUGAACUUCAACACUUUUUCUGUUCCUCAAGCUGCAUAAAGCACCAAAUGUAUCCCUGAGACUCUCUCGUCACUUCACUCAGUGGGCAUUAUGUUGACCCUAAUCUAAACCCAUCAGCCGCCCAUCCCUACCUUUCCCUCCCAUCUCCCCUCCCCA
rnacentral:lncRNA from 1 species